CUUUCACUCAAUGUCGACACUACUGCUACAUACACAAAACCAGACUAAGUAGGAAGAGAAGGUGGUCGACUUCGAUACCAUAAUCAUCAUCAUAAUCAUCACAAUAUCCACACUUAGCUAUUCUGUACACGUACAAAAUCUCACGUACAUACACUCAUAAUCAAGCUGCUGCUGCUACAUUUCGGGAUAUGAUAUUUUUUAAUACACACAUUUGUGCAAUAUCUAUACUACUUUUUGUCAGUACUAUGAGCAUUGGAUACGGCGCAGGACACUCCUCGUAAUCAACCUAUGAAAGCAACAUUAAGUCACGUCUUCUGCUUGAGACUUGAGAUGACACUUUGGUCAGAAUUCUUUGAGAACAUGUCUGGCCAUGAAGAAAUAUUAUUUUGCUUGAAAACCUGUGAGAGUUGGCAACAGGAAGGCCAUUUGGCCAUAGAAAAAUCUGGCUCAAUAAACUCUGUCUGACCCAUGCAAGCAGAGACAAGUGGAUAUCAAAAAGAUG